GCAGCAGGCACGCAAAUUACCCACUCCCGGCACGGGGAGGUAGUGACAAAAAAUAACGAUACGGGACUCUAUUGAGGCCCCGUAAUCGGAAUGAGUACACUUUAAAUCCUUUAACAAGGAUCCAUUGGAGGGCAAGUCUGGUGCCAGCAGCCGCGGUAAUUCCAGCUCCAAUAGCGUAUAUUAAAGUUGUUGCGGUUAAAAAGCUCGUAGUUGGUUCUGCGUGCCACGCUGUCGGUUCGCCGCCUGUCGGUGUAACUGGCAUGUCGUGGCAUGUCCUGUCGGUGGUGAACGGGGUCCCUGGUACGAUGUAGGCUUUUAUAGCUGAAAUCUGUACCGAGUGUGUUUCCGUUUGCCGAUCUCUCCUACUCCGGUGCUCUUAAACGAGUGUCGAGGUAGGCCGACACGUUCACUUUGAACAAAUUAGAGUGCUUAAAGCAGGCUAAAAUAUCUGCCUGAAUAGUGGUGCAUGGAAUGAUAAAACAGGACCUCAGUUCUAUUUUGUUGGUUUUAGGAAUAUGAGGUAAUGAUCAAUGUGGACUGGCGGGGGCAUUCGUAUUGCGACGUUAGAGGUGAAAUUCUUGGAUCGUCGCAAGACGCACUAGAGCGAAAGCAUUUGCCAAGUAUGUCUUAAUUGAUCAAGAACGAAAGUUAGAGGUUCGAAGGCGAUCAGAUACCGCCCUAGUUCUAACCAUAAACGAUGCCAGCCAGCGAUCCGCCGAUGUUCCUUUAAUGACUCGGCGGGGAGCUUCUACUCGGGAAACCAAAGCUUUUGGGUUCCGGGGGAAGUAUGGUUGCAAAGCUGAAACUUAAAGGAAUUGACGGAAGGGCACCACCAGGAGUGGAGCCUGCGGCUUAAUUUGACUCAACACGGGAAACCUCACCAGGCCAGGACAUUGG
rnacentral:rRNA from 1 species